CCUACGGGUGGCAGCAGUGAGGAAUAUUGGUCAAUGGACGAGAGUCUGAACCAGCCAAGCAGCGUGAAGGAUGACUGCCCUAUGGGUUGUAAACUUCUUUUAUAUGGGAAUAAAAUGUUCCACGUGUGGGAUUUUGUAUGUACCAUAUGAAUAAGGAUCGGCUAACUCCGUGCCAGCAGCCGCGGUAAUACGGAGGAUCCGAGCGUUAUCCGGAUUUAUUGGGUUUAAAGGGAGCGUAGGUGGAUUGUUAAGUCAGUUGUGAAAGUUUGGGGCUCAACCGUAAAAUUGCAGUUGAAACUGGCAGUCUUGAGUACAGUAGAGGUGGGCGGAAUGCGUGGUGUAGCGGUGAAAUGCUUAGAUAUCACGAAGAACUCCGAUUGCGAAGGCAGUUCACUGGACUGCAACUGACACUGAGGCUCGAAAGUGUGGGUAUCAAACAGGAUUAGAUACCCGAGUAGUC
rnacentral:rRNA from 1 species